rnacentral:rRNA from 1 species
UACGAAGGGGGCUAGCGUUGCUCGGAAUUACUGGGCGUAAAGCGCACGUAGGCGGCUCUUUAAGUCGGGGGUGAAAUCCUGGAGCUCAACUCCAGAACUGCCUUCGAUACUGUAGAGCUUGAGUUCGGGAGAGGUGAGUGGAACUGCGAGUGUAGAGGUGAAAUUCGUAGAUAUUCGCAAGAACACCAGUGGCGAAGGCGGCUCACUGGCCCGAUACUGACGCUGAGGUGCGAAAGCGUGGGGAGCAAACGGG